GCACAGUUAGGUGGGACAAGAAAAACCCAUAAUCAUAUUUUGAAUUUCAAACCCACUCUCAGAUGAUAACCAGGAUCUCGAUCUGCUCUCUCUCUCUCUCUCUCUCUCCAUCAUUAAACCGAAGAAGAAAAAGAGCAUCAGUUUUUCCAGAUUAGAUCUGAAGGUACUCCGGCUAAGGUUUGACAAUCUUAGGAUACCUAGAGAAAACUUGUUGAAUUCAGGCUGCUACUAUGAUCUCAUCAUUUGCCGACCAUAGCUUCUCAAACGGCUGUAUAUUGGUGAAGAGAUUAACACAAGACAAUCUGACACAUCAGCUUCCACGCCAUCAUUUUGACCCGGUAAACAGUGAUGCAGAUUAGCAUGGAGGUUGUCUGACAAGAACUCACACUUUGAAUCCUUUUAGGGAGAAGGCAGGAAAUCCGAUGGUGAAGACGGAUUGGGCAAGCUAUAAACGGAGGUAAUGAUUCGGCUAGAACUUUCCAUACGGUGGUGACGAUGGUGGUCCUUAAGAAUCACGUAAAUAUUAUCGAUAGAUUCCAAGGGUUCCGGCGAAGACGAUGGUCCGCUUUCCGACAAUGGUUUCGACACCUCUGAUGAACUCCGGUGGAGGAGACUAGGGUUUCGUUGAAGGUAAAUAAAAAUAUGUUUUAUGAUACUUUGAAUUCAUCAUGUAUUUUGAUUUGCUUCGAUUCUGGUAACAAUAAAAUAAUAAUGUUUUCGCUCCCACUGGUUGCCCAUUGAUUGAAUGUUUUGACAUUGCUCAUGUUUCCGGUCAUAAAGUAUGGAGAGUUGAAAGGAAUCAUGCAAUAUAUUGUUGCAUAUUAUGAUAAAAAAUAAAAUGGAUGAAUUUUCUCCCAGAGCAACCCAGCCUCCCAUAUUAAAAACGAACAAUUCUGACCCGUACUGAACUCACUCGACCUACCCAUGUUUCUACCCUCUACUAUGUAAAAGUUUGUAUUUUUUAGACAUAAUGUUGAGAUAUAUCAUCCAGCUGAAGGAGAAGCAUAUAGUGUAUUUACAAGAGUUGAUGUUGAUGAAAAUGAGGAAGGAUUUGGUGAUAUCGACAAUGAGUUUGAUCUAUCAAAUGGUGUUUCUGACUCGCUUCUUUCUACACACCUUGAUUAUAGGCGGUGACCAUAUAAUGCAUACGAUUUUCCCACUUCAUGGUCAAGAGGAAAACACAUGUUAUGCAGACUAUUCAAUAUCUCUUGGAACAUCUUAAGUGGACCUGGCAAACGGGUCGGGUCGGGUCAUGAGUCAAAACCGAUUCGGGUCAAAACGGGGUAAUUAAAAAGGGGUUGUUUUGGUUCGGGUCGAAACGGGUUCCGGUCGGAACGGUUAAAAAUGUUUUUUUAAACAGAUUGUACAUCAAGGGUCAAUUUUUUUCGGUUCGAAACGGUACUGGUCGAAACGGUCCGCGUCGAAACGGUUCGAUUCGAAACGGUACGGGUGAUCACUUCAACCAUAGAGACGAGCCGGUUCACGGUGGGCCAGUUUAUAUAUGGAUCCAAUAUGUAUCUACAAGAAAGGAUAUGGAGAUGGAUUAGAGAAGUGGAAGAGUGGUUAGCAGCUAAUAAUGGCACAUCUGUAAAAUGUGUAAUUAUUGAUAUGACUGGCGUAUGCACGAAUAGGCAUGGCUAAAGACGCUGCAAAAGCUGCAUCACAGAGUAAAGAUGGAGAGUUAUUGGAGCGCCUUAAAAACACUUGGCAACAGGGUCUCUGAAGAAGAGGUGUUUACAAGGAAGAUGAGUCAUGUGAUACGAUUAUAACUAGCAUCAGAAGAAGAUAUGGCGCUGCUAAAAGUUUUAAGUUCUUUUCAAACUUUAGUAAAAAUAGGGAUGACAAACGAACAUUGAUAAGAUCUGUGUCAAUCUUCCCAAUUUCAUCUUGUUUAAAUUCAAGAAGAUUGGAACUUGAGGCAAAAAGAAGAAUACGUGUAGCAACAUCUAAGUUGCUGGCUAGGGGCACUCAAAAUAAGCAUCUGAGUGCUUGUGUAUAUUUCAUCGGAUGAUGGAGUCGUUUGCUUCUGUACAUUACAAGUGCGUGUAGCAAAAAAUUACAUGCAAGCAAAACUUAAUUGAAAACAUGUUUUUAUACUUCAUAACUACAGACUUAGGCGGUCAAACUUCUCCUUUUUAAACAUAUCCUCUUGCAUGUGAUGAACACCAAUCGUACUUGUGCUUGAUGAUUUAUCUUACAUUUCCUAUUUUAUCUUUUUUU